UCGGUUCGUCGGUAAGCGUGACCACAUGUGACAACAGCGAUGCUAGUUGGAUAUAAAAUUGGUAGACGUGUCGUUGAACUCGACACAUUGACCGAAUCGCUUUUAGCAUGCAGUGCUUGUCAAGUGCCCAUGAAUUUACUUAACACUGUAGAAAGCAGGGAUUUCGGACAGGCAUGUGUUUUGGACAUACAGUUUAGCAAUUGUGGUGCAGUAAAUAAUGUGGCUACUGGACGGAAACAUGGCAGAGUUUAUGACAUGAUCACAAAGCUUGCAUUUGGGUAAAUCAAAAACUGGGUGUUUCACCUGGGACUUUCACAUCGAAACUGGCCUUUCUCCAUGACCUUCAGCACAAAAAAAGAAAGGCUAUAGCUGUUACUCGUGCAGCAAAACAGUGACGCAUAAGACUUAAAACUCGAACGGCAUUCAAAGGACAGUGCAAGAAGUACGAGUGGGACCAACAUACAGUUCAAACAUAGAGGACCAAGACGUUGAAGUUACAACUAUACCCCCACCUAUACCCAAGCCUGGUCAAGCAGGGCUAGACACUACUUGGAAGGAAUUUGUUUUCUUUGAUUUGGAAACAAGAGGGUUAGAGCACACUUCUCACAUAAUUCAGAUAGCUGCAGUGCAUUCAACUGGUCAAUUUUCAACAUAUGUGAUGCAUGAGAAGAAGAUUUCCUUGCAAGCGUCAGAAAUAACUGGAGUGACAGUUGUUAGCGACUCUAUGCUUGUCAAGAGACAAACAGUAACAGCUGUCCCCAUCAAAUCUGCAUUGACAAGUUGUAUAACAUUCUUACAGAAAUGUUCACCAAUUAUUUUAGUUGGGCAUAAUAUAGAGUCUUUUGAUUGUAAAGUGUUGCUCCGUGCUAUCCAUACUUGUUGAAAAAUGUUUGAGUUUCAGCAAAAUAUUUGUGGCUUUUUAGAUACUUAAAAAUGUUAAAGGAAAUAUUACCAAAUAUGAAAUCAUAUAAGCGGGAACAUUUAGUUAAAGACGUCAUUAGUGAAUUAUACAUGGCACAUGGCGCUAUACAGGAUAUUUUAGCUUUACAAAAGUUAGUGAACUUUGUUCCUCUUGACCAAAAAUUGUUAACAAAUAUUCAUUCAGCUUUUACCGAGCAGUGUUAACAUACAAUGUGUAACUAAAGGUUGCUUCCAACAUCAAAUCUUUACAAACCAUAAUUGAUACAAAAUUUAUAAGUCAAGGUGUUGCAAGGAAAGUUGCAGGAAGUGGAUUUCAACUUAAACAUUUGAGUCCUGUAUCAAAAAGAAACGGACUGAGUGGUUUGAGGA